rnacentral:lncRNA from 1 species
GUGGAACUGUAAGUCCAAUAAACUUCUUCCUUUUGUAAAUUGCCCAGUCUUGGGUAUGUGUUUAUCAGCAGCAUGAAAAGAGAAAAAUACAGAUGCCUUUAAAAACUGUUUUGAUGAAUUGUCCAUUUGAUAGAGAGACUCAAAGACAAGCAAGUUUGGUACUUCUUUAAUCAUAUUUUGAUUUUUAAUGGAGUAUUGGGUAAGAAAGGGUCCAGGGGUGAGUGGAGACCAGGGAUGUAUGUGGGCUUUGUGAGAUCUGGAUCUUGUAUAAUUUAGGGGAGGAAUUUCAACAAAAAUAAUAUAAAUACAAAAUUAGAAAUAGAGCCUUGGAAUAAGCUCAUGCAAGUGAAAAAUCUUGAGAUGAUGCUUUAUUCACUUUGUUUAAAAAUCCUUGUAUGGUUGAGAUAAAUUUUCUCCAUUCAGCUAGGAACACUGACACAUCAUGCUGAGAUAUUCUGAACGGAUAGACUACUGAAGGGUCAGGGAGAGAAAUGGAAAGAGGAUACAAAGAGGUCAAUAAAAUGCUGAGGAUUUACAGGGAGUUUACCAGGUGGUGCUGUGCAAUACUCAGAGAGAAGGUCAUGUGUGUACACAAUUUUUACACAUCAGGGCUGUCUUUAAGAAAACACAGAGUGCCCAGGGCUACAUGGACUAUCUGUGUGGUUUUCUUGCCCAGAAUUUGACAGGAGAGAUAAGGAUCAACAGCUUCACAGCUGAAGUUACUGUUUGUUUUCUCUUCUGGUUUCUACUAAUUUUGUUUUGUUUGAUAUGCAUCUUCAGCAUGGGCAACUCAAACAACCAGCACAGUUCAUUUGCUAUCCAUCUCCUUUCUUCUUUUUUUCCCUAACAAUAUGGAUUGAUUUUUUUGCUGUCAAAAAAAUAAGUUGUCUCAACACAGGAAUCAAAAUACAUAAGACAUGUAAAACAUUUUAAACUUUGAAAACAUUUUAACUAUCAUCAGAUUUUUACAACUAUUUUUAGACAUCUCAGAAUGUAGGGUUAAACUAAACUGAUGAUGUCUCUUUUAAAUUCUGGGGCAAUAGAGGAAAAGAAGGCCUGAGAUAGUGCCAAUUCUCCAGACUGACCAGGGCUGUGGAGAAUUCUGAUUUUACGGAGUGCAGAUGAUUUGGAUGGUCUUGUUACUAGUCAUAAGAAUCUUAAACCAUUCAGCAGCUGACAGACUGCAUUUACAUUGGAAAAGAAAAGUUGUCAGAAGCUUUUAUGGUGACCACACAAUCCAGGAACAAAUUUCUCAGUAUAGAAAAUAUGGUAUCUUUACAGGAAGAAUUAAUGAAACUCACAAAGGAGUACCUAAACAACAAAUAUCUAAGCUUUAAAAUAUUUUACCAGAAAAUGAACAACAAAAUAUACUGCAGAUCAAAUACAGAUGGGUGAGAGAGAAGAUUUUAAAAGCACAUUGGCAGGGGUGUUUGGGAGACAUGGUAAUAGGUUCUCUCUUUCCUAAAGGGAAGCCAGUGGAGGGUGAGAGGGCCAAUAUCUCUGAAUACUGGCACUCAACUCCUCAUAAUAAUCAAUAAAAGGAAUGUUGGAUGCCUAAUAUCUGGCUCCUGUGAGAUUGUCCAAUGUGCCUUAGGCCAAGAUACUCAUGCAGCAGGAAAGGAGUAGAAGAGGGGCGGGAAUGCCUUUUGUCAUCUCUGCUCUAAUGCUGGGGAGAAGCAGUGUCUCUCAGCACACCUUCCAGUAAGCCCUCUUUCCAUGUAGCCCAAACAGAGGUGAGUCCAACUAGGGCAAGGGCAUUUUCCAACAUAAAAGACACAGGUUGGACAAUUUCAGCAGAAGAGGAUUGAGCAGCAUCCAUAAUUUUAGUUCACAAGGAGAUUCAGUGACUCUGUGUGUACUGGUUUGUACUUUUUGAUGCUAAAAUAGGAAGUAGUUUGCUUCCUUUCUUCUUUCUGUCUUCUGUUUAUUUAUUUAUUUUUUGGAUUCCAGGAAAAUUGCUCCAUUUAUUCACACUGGAGUCAUGAUUUUAUAGAGUUAAGAGGCUUUUUUUGGGAGGGCGGAGCAAGAUGGCCGAAUAGGAACAGCUCCAGUCUCCAACUCCCAGCGCGAGCGACACAGAAGACCGGUGAUUUCUGCAUUUUCAACUGAGGACGAACUCUUCUUACUUGAAGAUCAAGGACUACGGUUGGUCUCUAUCCUGAUCCUGUAGAUUCACCAUUGGCAGCUGUGUCUGAAGAACCUGCUCCUUGAGAGGCAUUUCUUGUUCCAGAAGCUGCAAAAAUACCUCUACUUAGCAACUCAGGCCCAGAUAUUUGCUCUCUCAAUGUCACACGGGGCCGGGUUCUAGAACUUCCCUCCGUCUCAUUUACCAAAGAUGUUCAAAAAUCUGAGAUGAGAUAUGAUGAUGAGAUCUUCGUGGAAUUUCACUCAUUGGAUGCAGAGGUGACCUCCUUCUCUCAGCUCUUGCUCUGGUUCUCCGAUAGUCUAGCCUCCUGCUUCCUGCCCUCCUCUGACCUCUGAGAUGGGGCGGUCUCCCUAUGUUGCCUAGGCUGGACUUCAACUCAUGGGCUCAAGCAAUCCUCCUGCCUCAGCCUCCAUGUAAUCAUUAUUUUAAGUAAGUAUGCAACCAUAAUAUUAAUAAGUAUAUGAAUAGCUAUCUUUGGCGUAGGGAUCCUGUUUUCAACCUGUGUCAUCAACAGGCCAGUUUAAUUAUUAUAUCAUGUUGUUGAAACAAAGAUUAAUUUCCAAAGUGGAAAUUUGGUGAGUAACAGAGUUUAAACUGAAAGUUUUGAGGCUUGACAAGUAGAUGAUUCACAUCAGAGAUACCUCACACAUUUUGCCAUUACACAUACCAAUCUCUUCAAAUUUCCUCCUGUACAGACAGCUCUCUCAUCUCUGUUCUUUUUCUCAAUUUACAGUUCCUUUCCAAAGCCUAUUGUGUGAGCAUUUCAGAUCCAAGUCUUAACCCCAGCUUGCAGACCACACUCACCAGCCAAGCAACAGGAUUUUACUUGAGAUGCAGAGCAAAAACAAACAAACAAACAAACAACAAAAAACAGACUGGAAUAACUUUUUCCCUAGCAAAAAUAACUUAACUAUUAUUAAAAGUCAUACUGAUGAAACCUAUCAGAAAAUUGAGAAUCACAGUAAAGUACUUAAUCACAGUGAUAUUGUGCCUGAUUUGUGAUUCUAUUUUCAGAAAACAAGAGAAGUUUAGUGUGAAGCCAGUGUGUGGUGAUGGUUAUGGUUGUCUUCUCAUGUACUCAUCAGCACAUGCAUGUGAGAAAACUAUCUAAGGCUAGGAAUGUAACCACCAAAAGAAUUAAAGGAAAGAAUACUCAGUGCUGCUCACACAGGUAUAGGACUAGUUCCUGGUUCCAUAAACCAGAUUAGUAGUGGGGAAUAAUUAGUCCUAUGAUAUGCACAGCUCUGGUCCCACCCUGUGAAUCAUAAAACCAAGACCCAAAAGGAUUAAACAGUUUCCAAGUAACUUAAAUGCAUCCUAGAAUAAAGCUCAAUCAUUAUAGGAAUACAAAAA